AUAAAAGCUUGUUCUAAAGCCUAGUGAUCGCUUUACUUAGUGCACAAUACACACAGCAGUACUUGCAUAAAUCACAUAAGAAAUGUUUAUGUUAUUGUCUCUGUUAAAGAAACAGUUUACCUGUACUCAAAAAUUUAAGUUUACUGAAAAUAUACUCACUCUCAGGCCAUCCAAGUUUGUUUCAUCAGAAUAGAUUUAGAGAAAUUUGGAGUAGCAUUAUAUCACUUGCUAACCAGUGGAUCCUCUGCAGUAUAUGUUUGCCGUGAGAAUCAGAGUCAAAACAGCUGAUCAAAACACCACAAUGAUUCACAAGUUAUCCACAUGACUCUCGUGAAUUUCGUAUGAAGUGAAAAGCUGCGUCUUUGUAAUAAACAAAUCUAUCAUUGAGGUGUAUUAGUUUUAAAUCAUCACUUCUGGUCAAAAUUCAUAAUAAUGCAUAAUAGUUCAUUAUUAUUAUAAAUUAUAUAACUUAAUAAUCAUAAACGUAAGUCAUAAUAAUGAAUAAUAUUAAUGCCAUUGUUGUCCUCUCACAUCCAAAUAUAAAACUGUUAAAACAGUCCUUGAUCUGUGCAUAUUUUCCCUCAUGAUUCAGAUGAGAUGACUUUAUCUCCGGACAAUGCAAUAUUAUGCAUAGAGAUACUAUGUCUUAUUGUAUUUUUUUAUUAAAAAACACACUUUGUGUUUUUUUGUUUAUUAAAAAAGCUUUUCACUUCACCGUGUCCUGUGGAUUACUUGUGAAUCAUUGUGGUGUUUUUAUCAGCUGUUUGGACUCUCUUACUGAUGGCACUCCCAUUCACUCCAGAGGAUCCAUUGGUGAGCUAGUGAUGUAAUGCUACAUUUCAAAAUAUUCUGUGAAUUUUCUUUUCUACUGCUGCUAUACAGAUAUUUUUUAACUAUUACUAUUCGUCCAGCUCCUCUUUCAUUUACACACUCUGGUUUGACACAUUUUUUUGUCUUGAUUGAGCUCAUCACAAUAUUAUCUGUAUCUUAGGUGAGACUGAUAGGCUAACAGCCCAGUGUUUAUAGUCAGGCUAAAUGUUUAAAAGGACUUCUGUAUUGUUCUUGAUGUUGCCAUUAGUCUGAGGGUUAUAUUUGCUGUACUGCAGUCAAGCGUGUGAGCUUAUCAGACAGGAAAGCUGUGACUGAUUUUUAACAGGUUUUUGUUUUAACAGGUUUUUGGUGUUUACAUUUUGAAUAAUUCGCGGUUUUAACCAUUAAACCAAAACACAUUUUACUUGCAGUUAGUGUAAUUUAGUUUUUGAGUUUAUCAAAAGUUUGUAAACUAUGUUAUUAGUCAAUAUAUCGAUUGUGCAAAGUUGUCUUUACCACCAAUGAAGUCCAUUUUUAAGCAACGUUUUCCUCUUGUUCUGCUUCUUUACAAUUUUUUUAUUUUUUCACACGGGGAAGAGAUGCUUGUGACAUGUUGGUGUCUUGUUUACUGAAAUGAGCAUCUUUCUAUUUUUGUUUCUGUGGCGAGUGGGGCGGGGCCGAGAGGCGUGGGAACGAGGAGUGAGGCCAGGUGUAGUGAUUGGAGAUGAGCUACACCUGCGCCCCACCGCCGGUCUUGAGUCCCACGUAGGAGAUGGAAGGAUAUAAAACUGGAGUGACGACCGUGAAGGACGAGAGAGGACCAGGCCUGGGACAUUAUUUUAUGUGUUUGGCUUUUAUUUGCGCGCACCAGUCGUCCGCGAGGGGCUGGUGCGCAGUUUUGUAUUUAUUUUCGAAUAUUAAAAUGAAUUUUGAUUGUG